rnacentral:lncRNA from 1 species
UUUUUUUUUUUUUUUUUUUUUUUUUAAAGGAAGGGUUGAAUUUCAGCCCAAAGCCCAUUAGUAAAUGUCUCCUUGGACCUUACACUGAGCUGGUUUGGUUUGCAGAGUGCCCACGGAACUGAUACCAAAACAAGGCACUGUCAGCCAAGACCAAUGAGGUCAGGAAGGGAUGGGAAGGGAUGUGCUGGAUCUACCAUGGUGAUGCUGAUGAGUUCAGGCUUGGUGGCUUAGGCUGCCCAGAGAAGCUGUGGCUGUUCCUGGAUCCCUGGCAGUGUCCAAGGCCAGGUUGGACAGGUCUUGGAGCACCCUGGGCUAGUGGAAGGUGUCCCUGCUUAUGGUGGUGGCACUGGAUGGGCUUUAAGGUCCCUUCCAACCAAACCAUUCUGUGAUUCCAUGACUUGAGGACAUGCUGGUUUUCCAUGUGGGUGUCUGUGCUUGGUAAAUGAGGAAUGAGCCAGAUCCUGCUGUCCUGCUGGGGGGCUCUGCAGCCCUAGGGAAGCCAGGAGCACCUGCUGCCCACAGUCACGCAUGGAAGGCAUUUGCAGAGUUAGCUCAGCUUUGAAGUCAGCUCGUCAGCACAAUUCCAGGUGUGGAGUGGGUUCACGGGGGAAACUCAAGAAAAUAAACAGCUGGGUGAGAGCAGCCAGCAAAAUAAACCCACCAGAGCUGCGUGUGGGGCUCUGCUGGAGCAGCUGAUGAAUGAAUGCCAGCACAGAGAACAAACCCCACAGCCCUGGUGCGAGCAGGAGACGGCUCAGCUCAGCUCCUGGAGAGCAGGUGGAGCCUCUGGAGCUCCCUCUCGGUGAGGAUGGAUCACCACACCCUGCGCUGAGAAGCCCUCGGAUCCUCCUGUGGAUGCUGAGGGAAUUCAGACGCCGCUUUGAGGGUCUAAAGGGAAAAAGAAAAGCGAGAAAGAAGAAAGGAUCUCUUUCAGUGCCUCAUACCACCCUCUCCACCCCUGGAGACUGCAUUCAAACGCUGUCUGAUGCUGAGGGCUGGCUGGGGGGGUCCGGGGCCAUCAGCAUGCCUGGCACACGCCGAGCCCAGCCAGCAGAGCAGUGCUGGGCCCGGCCACAGCUCCUCCAGCCUCCAAAUAUUUGGAUUCUGAAAGGGCUGGGAUAGAAACACCAAGAAAAAUAAAUAUUUUACAAACACAGUAACCGAAAA